CCUGUGCCCGGACCAGAGACUCAAAGCUGGGUUUGAAGUAAUCGAUGCGGCUGCUGUAAAAUUUGGGCAUUUCCUCCAGGAGCUGCUUGUUUUUGGCUUCAAAGUCCUCCUUCACCGGGCGCAGCUCCUCCCGGGCCUGGGAGAGGAGAGGCUGUGAGUCAGACACCUGGGAAAACGCUCUUCCUUUGGGAAUGCCUUCAAAGAGGCCACCCUGGGACAGAGGAAUGCUCUGCUUUGACCUGAGCACAAGCAGGGGGAGCCUGGUGGGACCCAUGGGAUUGUCCAAGGGAACCUAGUGAUCAGCUAAUGGGACCUGCUGGGAAGCUGUGGGACAAUCCAACACAGCCUGGUGGGACCCAAGUGACCAUCCAAUGGAGCCUGGUGGGACCAAGUGACCAGUUAAUGGAAUAAUAGAACCUGGUGGGACCCAAGUGACCAUCCAAUGGAACUUGGUGGGAUAAAGUGACCGGUUAAUGGAACCUGGUGGGAUCAAGUGACUAUCCACUGGAGCUUGGUGGGAACCAAGCUCUGACCCUGCAGAGCCACGGGACACCCAGAGAGGCUCUGAGCCAGCUGGUCUUCCCUCCUUUGGAAAAACAUGGACAAAAACCAUCCCUAAAGCUCAGUCAGGCUGGAGAACGUCCCUGGCCAUGUCCAUGACCCCUCUCCCUGCAAUUCCCAGGACCAUCUCCCCAGGAUCCUGCCCCCACCACCCCUUUUGCCCGUGACCUUCAGCUCAGUCUGUCCAACUGGCUCCUUCCAACAGAAGCGUGGGGAGAAAGGGAAAUGUCUCAGGGAUGGUGUGGAAAAGGGCAGGAGGGGGUGGGCUGUGAAAUAUUAGACUGGUUCAAGUCUGCCACUUAAUCCCGGUGCCAUUCCAGAGGGAGGGGGGUGCAGGGGAUCCGAGCCCGGCCACGGCGCCGGCCCCGCUCCCAGGGACAGGGACAGAAUGCCAGAGGGAUGGAAUGGACAGAGCUCCGGGCUGGCAGAGCCUCAAAUCAUCCCAGCCCAAGAGGCAAAUUCAUCAUUCCCCACUAACACUGGAACUCCAUCCAGGGAUGGAGCUCAUGGAGAGCAGAGAACUGGGAGUAAAUACCUGAUUAAACCUGCAGCUCAAUAUUUAAACACUUGGAUGAGACGAGGCCAUUUCCCAUCAAAUCUGGGCCUCUUGGAUACCCCGGAUUUGGGAAUGCUUAAGGCUCCCUCCCACAGGUGUUCAAGCUCAUGCAGUGUUUAGUGAAGUUGUAUUGUUUUUUUUUUUGAGGGGGGGAGUAGAAUUAGAUCAGAAGUUCAUUAAGGGGAAAAAAUACAUGAAAUAACUAAAACCUGCUUAAUCACCAGGACAAAAGCAUUCCCGUUUUUCCAGCCCCGGCUUUAGUCGCCGAGGCUGAGCAAAAUAAGCUGCUUACUGUUAAAUCAGAGGUGUCUUUUGUUCAGGCUGUUCUUUAACACAAAACUUCAUUUUUUUGGGGGGGAAACUCAUCAGAAAAACAUAUUUUCUCUGAUGCUGGGAAUCAAUUGUUCCUCCGAGGAUCAAGCCACGUGCUGUCGGAGCCACAGAUUUGGUGGAGAAACGCCGGGGAAGAUUUAAUUAAAAAAACAAAAAAGAAACAAA